GACGAACGCUGGCGGCGUGCCUAAUACAUGCAAGUCGAACGCAGUGGGGACGGGUGAGUAACACGUGGGUAACCUCCCAUCAGAGGGGAUAACACUUGGAAACAGGUGCUAAACCGAUACUGAUGGAUGGACCCGCGGUGCAUUAGCUAGUUGGUGGGGUAAAGGCCCACCAAGGCCACGAUGCAUAACCGAGCUGAGAGGGUGAUCGGCCACACUGGAACUGAGACACGGCCCAGACUCCUACGGGAGGCAGCAGUAGGGAAUCUUGGGCAAUGGACGAAAGUCUGACCGAGCAAUGCCGCGUGUGUGAAGAAGGUUUUCGGAUUGUAAAGCUCUGUUGUUAGAGAAGCGGUAUCUAACCAGAAAGCCCCGGCUAACUACGUGCCAGCAGCCGCGGUAAUAC
rnacentral:rRNA from 1 species